ACAGGUAUUUGACUCUGGGUACAGUGUAGAGUGGAUAAUAAAGUAAAAUAUGAUCUAUAGAGUCUACGCAGUUCCCGUUGCAUAUGUAUAGCCGUAGGUGGUAUGGGGUUUUAACGAAUCUCCCUGUCGAUACGGCUGAUGGAAGGGCAUUGCAACAGGCCAACAUCAUUGCUCUACGGAGACUGGGCACGGUUAUCUGGCAGUCAGGGUUCACUUAGGAGACAAACUUUUGAAGUUGCCUGGUGAAAUUUUUUUUAGAGCAUCUAUUUUGUUUUGUAGGCUUAUGUCCAAAGAAACAGAAGGAGAUCUCACGAGCAAUUAAAAGAGCUCAUCAUUUGGGAUUUAUGUCAGUGACAUAUAAGGACCCAACAUUCCGCGGUGAUCCUAAAAUAUGUAAUGUUAGAUAUCCAGACUGAAUUAUGUUAAUUGUACCUAAUAUGUUUGUAAUUGGUGGGUGCUCAAUACUAUUAAAAACUUAACAAAUAUG